GACGAACGCUGGCGGCGUGCUUAACACAUGCAAGUCGAACGGAAAGGCCCUGCUUUUGUGGGGUGCUCGAGUGGCGAACGGGUGAGUAACACGUGAGUAACCUGCCCUUGACUUUGGGAUAACUUCAGGAAACUGGGGCUAAUACCGGAUAGGAGCUCCUGCUGCAUGGUGGGGGUUGGAAAGUUUCGGCGGUUGGGGAUGGACUCGCGGCUUAUCAGCUUGUUGGUGGGGUAGUGGCUUACCAAGGCUUUGACGGGUAGCCGGUCUGAGAGGGUGACCGGCCACAUUGGGACUGAGAUACGGCCCAGACUCCUACGGGAGGCAGCAGUGGGGAAUAUUGCACAAUGGGCGGAAGCCUGAUGCAGCAACGCCGCGUGCGGGAUGACGGCCUUCGGGUUGUAAACCGCUUUCGCCUGUGACGAAGCGUGAGAGACGGUAAUGGGUAAAGAAGCACCGGCUAACUACGUG
rnacentral:rRNA from 1 species